UCUUAAAAGGGAUGGAAGCGGUAUCCUUUUAUUGCACAAGGUUUAAGUUUAGGAUUGCUUUCACAAAAAGAUUUAGCGGACAGCCCGGCUGCAG
rnacentral:sRNA from 1 species